GUGGGCGUAGCUCAGUUGGUAGAGCACAGGAUUGUGGCUCCUGGUGUCGUGGGUUCGAUCCCCAUCGUCCACCCCA
rnacentral:tRNA from 13 species